rnacentral:rRNA from 1 species
UACGAAGGGUGCAAACGUUGCUCGGAAUUAUUGGGCGUAAAGCGCACGUAGGCGGCUUAGCAAGUCGGAAGUGAAAGCCCUCGGCUCAACCAAGGAAGUGCUUUCGAAACUGCUGAGCUUGAGUACUUAAGAGGAUCGCGGAAUUCCCGGUGUAGAGGUGAAAUUCGUAGAUAUCGGGGAGGAACACCAGGUGGCGAAGGCGGCGAUCUGGGAAGAUACUGACGCGUGAGGUGCGAAAGC